rnacentral:sRNA from 1 species
ACAACUACAACCGCACAGAAUAAGUUAUUAAGAACGUAAGUCACUUAGGAUGGCGAGUCUAAGUCUAAU